rnacentral:rRNA from 1 species
AUUGAACGCUGGCGGCAUGCCGUAAACAUGCAAGUCGAACGGUAACAGGCCUUCAGAUGCUGACGAGUGGCGAACGGGUGAGUAAUACAUCGGAACGUGCCCGAGCGUGGGGGAUAACGGAGCGAAAGCUUUGCUAAUACCGCAUAAGAUCUACGGAUGACAGCGGGGGAUCGCCACACCUCAUGCUCCUGGAGCGGCCGAUAUCUGAUUAGCUAGUUGGUGGGGUAGAAGCUCACCAAGGCGACGAUCAGUAGCUGGUCUGAGAGGACGUCCAGCGACACUGGGACUGUGACACGGCCCAGACUCCUACGGGAGGCAGCAGUGGGGAAUUUUGGACAAUGGGAGCAACCCUGAUCCAGCAAUGCCGCGUGAGUGAAGAAGGCCUUCGGGUUGUAAAGCUCUUUUGUCAGGGAAGAAACGGUUCUGGAUAAUACCUGGGACUAAUGACGGUACCUGAAGAAUAAGCACCGGCUAACUACGUGCCAGCAGCCGCCGUAAAAC